UGGUGGAGCGAUUUGUCUGGUUAAUUCCGAUAACGAACGAGACCGAGGCCGCUAACUAGGUCUAGGAACCGUCUAAUGGGUGAAGCGGGGAUGGCUCACGCCGGAACCGGGGAUCCUUGACGAGUACCGACGACCCUUAUUAGCGGGACCGUUGCCGUUUAGGCAGUGGAAGUUCUCGGCAAUAACA
rnacentral:rRNA from 1 species